rnacentral:tRNA from 1 species
GAAAGUUUAAUUAAUAAUAUAAUAUUAAAAUGUCAUUUUAAAAUUACUUAAUUAUUUAAAUAAGUACCUUUCG